rnacentral:misc_RNA from 1 species
UCCGACUUAACGUCGGCAGUCCCUUUAGAGUGCCCAACUGAAUGCUGGCAACUAAAGGCAAGGGUUGCGCUCGUUGCGGGACUUAACCCAACAUCUCACGACACGAGCUGACGACAGCCAUGCAGCACCUCUGAUGCGGUCCCGAAGGAGGGCCUUAUCUCUAAGGCUUUCCCCACCAGUUCUAACCCAGGUAAGGUUUUGCGCGUUGCAUCGAAUUGAACCACAUGCUCCACCGCUUGUGCGGGCCCCCGUCAAUUUCUUUGAGUUUUAAUCUUGCGACCGUACUCCCCAGGCGGGACACUUAACGCGUUUGCUACGGCACUGAAGGGGUCAAUACCUCCAACACCAAGUGUCCAUCGUUUACGGCGUGGACUAC